GCAUUUAUACCCAACACUAACGAUAGUACCUACCCCUAAAGAUUUUGGGAAUGAGGUAGCGGGAGACCCCACUUUGAAAAAGGAUCAAGGGGGAUUGGGGGGGGAACAGUUUGUGUGGCAAGGUAGCAGGUUUUACUGGGUUACUCACUCCUGGGUGAACACUCCAGGGCGUACGCAAAAACUCCAGCUAGUAGUCCCAUAGAAGUACCGACCGGAGUUGUUGAGGGUCGGCACAACGUGCCUCUAGCUGGAAAUUUGGGAAUUCGACGGACAUCAUACCUGGUAACCCAAAACUUUUCUGGCCUGGGGUAUCCAAUGAUGUCCGACAAUAUUGCCGAACCUGCGAUGUGUGCCAAAGAGUAUCAACCCCAGACUAACUGUCUUUGUGAGCGGUUUAAUGGGACUCUUAAGCAACUGCUGAAGACAUUCAUGGCUGCUUGCAGAGACUGGGAGCAUUUCCUGCCCCACCUCCACUUUGCUUACAGGGAAGUGCUGCAGGAAUCUACUGCAUUUUUACCCUUUGAGCUGCCAUACAGGAGGCGAGUGAGGGGACCCCUAGACCUUAAACAAGAGCACUGGGAGGGAGCAACAGACUCCAUAGGGACCCCGAUUGUACACUAUGUGCUGGAGUUGAGGGACCAAAUGGAGACCUUGGCUCAGACAGUGCGAGAAAACCUCCAGGCGGCCCAGCAGUGCCAGCGGGUAUGGUAUGACUGGAAGGCCACGCAGUGUAGUACUCAAACCAGUCAGGCUAGAUAAGCUACAGGCACCCUGGCAGUGGCCGUAUAAAGUUAUUGGGCAGGUGUGUUACCACGUACACUGUAGCCAGCUGCAAGAAUGAGGAUGUGAAACGGACAUUUCAUAUCAACAUGUUCAAAGAGUAUAAAGGUCGAGAGGAAGAGGUGGCUGCCACGGCAUCUGAGAAUCCCG